CCAAACCUCCAUCACAACACUGCCACGGCCACACAUGCAUGGGAUAUUUAAUGGGUGUGUUUGUUUCCUUUAAAAGAAAAAAAAAAAUGUCCACAGGCCAUUGAUGGCUUGCUUCCAAGACCACUGCAGCAGUGAACAGAGGGCCAGCCAGGAGAGUAAGUGGCGGAGAGGGGAGGCCGGGGCGGCCGACGGGGCUUCACAACACCCACAGAAAGUACCACCACAGCGGGCGACCCCGAGGGGCGGCAGAUAACGGAACUAUGAAUGCUCUGAUGCUUGAAGUACCAGGUAACUACAAGGAUGAGAGGGGCUGAAACAAGCUUUUCUCCACCCAGAGAAGUUCUCUCAUUGAUCAGAAGUAGAAAGAGGAGGAAAGAUACAGCGGAUUAUGGACGGUAGCCUACCUCACCGAAUUCAUUUGGCCCACAUAGAAUUCUCCUCGUGGCCUAAGAACAUCGGAUAUGCAAGAGGAAAAGGAAAAACACUAUCUUUGUGACUUCUACGCGGUUUGUUCUCCUUUUGAGUGGCAGGUUUAGACUGUCUUCUUUUAGGGACGGAGACUUGAUUUUCCGUUUUGGGGGGGGGUCUCUACUCAAAUUACUUAGUACUAUGUACAUAGCAUGUGCUCACUAAAUAUGUUUGACCAACAACA